UCUUCCUAUAGGAACACUUCUUCAGCUCUGUGCUGUCCCCCUAGCUCAGCAGGUGGAUGUGAGCUUGGAACUAGAAGUACCUGGAUGUGAACAUGAUUGCUGCCACUUUCUCAAUCUAUACCUUGGACAAGAGUUCAUGAACUUUCAAUUCUGGAAUCCUUCAACACAGGGACCAAAAUUAUACCUCCAUUUUCUCUUCAUGUGUCUAAGAGGUAUUUCCCAACUGACUAUGGGAUGCUAGAGGGCAUCCCAUACUGCAUACCUACUUUUGGGAGUGUCAAUGAAGCAUUCAAAACAGGCUUAAGGAAAAUUGUGGAAGAGGGGCCAGAAAGGUAAUAGCCAGAAGAUCAGGAUGUCUGCUGUGAGAAAGUGUUUUCUGUGUACGACAGGGAAUCUGCACCAUGAACUCUCAACAGUAUAAUUGUCUGAACAAUACCCAUGUGACAGUACCACCAGUUGUCACACCAACACGGAUGAGGCAACUCUCACAAGACCCUACCCUUAGAUGAAGAACUAUAGAUGAUCAGUGCCUGCCGAGAUCCAAAGUCAGAACCAGAAGUACAAUAGCAGUUUCAAAACAUUUCCUUAAAGUUUUGGAGUGGAUGAAAUAUAAAGCAAUAUUAGUAUAAACUUUUGAAGAAUCAUUGAACCUGGAGACUGUUAUAUGGUAUCAGUUCAGUCCUGACAAACCUGGACUCUCUCUGAAGUCUGUGUGGUGGUCCCAUCGUUAUAAAUACUCUCUCUACAUUUGGUUCUAAAGAGAUGAGCAUAAGCACCCUCUGCCAUCCACAGCAGCAAGUAAUAGCCCCUGGGCAUCAAACUAAUAAUCUUUGACUGGCUUGAACUAAAUACGGCCAUGAAGUGAUUGACCUGAACAUGCCAGAUUAUUGAUUGGGCUGGAAAUGCCUAAGCCAUCAUUUUCUUGGAGCAGUCACUGCUUUUGUCUUGAUCCCAUCCACAGCUGUCACACUGUGGAGAGCCAUUGAAAGAGUCCACAUUUUCAUCCUUCAUACAUCUAUGCUACUCGGCUUCAAAUAAAAAUGCCACCACUUGAAA